rnacentral:rRNA from 1 species
GCUAGUAAUGGCAGGUCAGCAUACUGCCGUGAAUACGUUCCCGGGCCUUGUACACACCGCCCGUCACACCAUGAGAGUUGGGAAUACCCGAAGCCUGUGAGCUAACUUAUAGAGGCAGCAGUCGAAGGUAGAAUCAAUGAUUGGGGUGAAGUCGUAACAAGGUAAC